rnacentral:rRNA from 1 species
GAUGAACGCUGGCGGCGUGCCUAAUACAUGCAAGUCGAGCGAACAGACGAGGAGCUUGCUCCUCUGACGUUAGCGGCGGACGGGUGAGUAACACGUGGAUAACCUACCUAUAAGACUGGGAUAACUUCGGGAAACCGGAGCUAAUACCGGAUAAUAUAUUGAACCGCAUGGUUCAAUAGUGAAAGACGGUUUUGCUGUCACUUAUAGAUGGAUCCGCGCUGCAUUAGCUAGUUGGUAAGGUAACGGCUUACCAAGGCAACGAUGCGUAGCCGACCUGAGAGGGUGAUCGGCCACACUGGAACUGAGACACGGUCCAGACUCCUACGGGAGGCAGCAGUAGGGAAUCUUCCGCAAUGGGCGAAAGCUUGACGGAGCAACGCCGCGUGAGUGAUGAAGGUCUUCGGAUCGUAAAACUCUGUUAUUAGGGAAGAACAAAUGUGUAAGUAACUAUGCACGUCUUGACGGUACCUAAUCAGAAAGCCACGGCUAACUACGUG